rnacentral:lncRNA from 1 species
GUGGACUUUCUGUAGAGGUCAGACAACUUUGUGUGGCUUUGAGCAACCUGAAGGAGAGCCUUUCCAAGCAUUGGACUAGCAAAAAUCAAGAUUCUUUCAAUUUGGUAAUAGUUUCUAAGCUUUCUUGAUCAUUUUGUUAGAUCUAAUAGUUAGAUCUAGAAUUGCAACAUCGAUCAGAUCGAUGUAAGUUUUUAUUUUCAGAUCUAAAGUGUAUCUUAGUUUAUAUUAUUUAUUUUGGUAUGAUAGUCUA